CUAGAACUUCACACAACAAACUUGUAGCAGCCAUUCAUCUUGUGAUCAUCUGUAGAAAGCAUCGUCUAUUUUUCGGCUUUCCAUGUUUUCACUGGUGUACGGUAGGAGGCCCUAUCUUCUGAAAGAGUACUGAACAUCUGAAUCAAAACACGGCGAAGAAGCAGAAUCAAGUGAUCACAUUAAAGGAAAUAGCCACUCCGAAACCAUCGCCUCUCUGAAUGAUGUUUGGCAGUAGCGGAGGCCAGAAAUGACUCUCAGGCCAAUGGGUAUUUAGCAGACAGAUGAAUACUGGCUGAACUUUCAAGAAAUGAGUAAUUUGCCCUUUAGGACUAUGUGCAUGCCUAUGGACUCCAGCAGACCCUGAAUGCACAGCAGAACAGAGUGGUAUUGAUAUGAAAGGGCAAUGGUGGGCAUUGACAAUCUUGGUUGGGGUUAUCAAAGGCCAGGGCUACAACAACACAGUGCCAUGCAUGUUUUGAACAGUUGGUGCCAUGUGAAGGGCUGGCAUCUGCUGGCAUCCUUUAAGCACAUUUGCUUGCAUUAUGUUUGCUCUGAUCACAUGAUAUCAGUUGCCUGAAAAGCCACAAGUGUGUCUGGGGCAACAGAUAUAAGGUAAUUGAUUAAAUCACAUUAAAGCAGAUGCAUUAUGAGAGUGCACCGUGAUUUUGAUUAAAUUAGCUGAUUCAGAACAGUGGGUGGGGCGGCAAUUGUUCAAAGUGCUUGUUGCCAGGUGAUUGUACAAAAAUAGUGUUUUUAAUAUCUCAGUCCAGCAAAAUACUGUACAGUAUAUAAUCCUCAUAUGUACUGUAAAACAUCAAAGCUGAAGAAAAGCUAUUUAUAAAGCCCAC